CCUACGGGACGCAGCAGUGAGGAAUAUUGGUCAAUGGGCGGGAGCCUGAACCAGCCAAGUCGCGUGAGGGAAGACGGUCCUAUGGAUUGUAAACCUCUUUAGGCGGGGAGCAAUGCCGGGCACGCGUGCCCGGAGGGAGAGUACCCGCAGAAUAAGCAUCGGCUAACUCCGUGCCAGCAGCCGCGGUAAUACGUAGGGGGCGAGCGUUGCCCGGAAUCACUGGGCGUAAAGGGCGCGUAGGCGGUAAUAUAAGUCAGAUGUGAAAGGUGGGGGCUCAACCCCUAGAGUGCAACUGAUACUGUAUA
rnacentral:rRNA from 1 species